rnacentral:tRNA from 2 species
GGAGAGGUGGCAGAGUGGUCGAUUGCGGCGGUCUUGAAAACCGUUGUACUGUGAGGUACCCGGGGUUCGAAUCCCUGUCUCUCCGCAA